CAAGCGGUGGAGCAUGUGGUUUAAUUCGAUGCAACGCGAAGAACCUUACCUGGUCUUGACAUCCACGGAAGUUUUCAGAGAUGAGAAUGUGCCUUCGGGAACCGUGAGACAGGUGCUGCAUGGCUGUCGUCCGCUCGUGUUGUGAAAUGUUGGGUUAAGUCCCGCAACGAGCGCAACCCUUAUCCUUUGUUGCCAGCGGUCCGGCCGGGAACUCAAAGGAGACUGCCAGUGAUAAACUGGAGGAAGGUGGGGAUGACGUCAAGUCAUCAUGGCCCUUACGACCAGGGCUACACACGUGCUACAAUGGCGCAUACAAAGAGAACCGACCUCGCGAGAGCAAGCGGACCUCAUAAAGUGCGUCGUAGUCCGGAUUGGAGUCUGCAACUCCACUCCAUGAAGUCGGAAUCGCUAGUAAUCCUGGAUCAGAAUGCCACGGUGAAUACCUUCCCGGGCCUUGUACACACC
rnacentral:rRNA from 1 species